rnacentral:rRNA from 1 species
UACGUAGGUGGCGAGCGUUGUCCGGAUUUACUGGGCGUAAAGAGCGCGCAGGCGGUCGUUCAAGUCGCGUGUGAAAGCCCCCGGCUCAACUGGGGAGGGUCACGCGAUACUGAUCGACUCGAAGGCAGGAGAGGGAAGUGGAAUUCCCGGUGUAGCGGUGAAAUGCGCAGAUAUCGGGAGGAACACCAGUAGCGAAGGCGGCACUCUGGGCCGGUACUGACGCUGAGGAGCGAAAGCGUGGGGAGCGAACAGG